UCCUUUCAGGUGGGUUGGGAGCAGAAAGGAGGAAAUCAGGCUUUGCCAGGAGAAGGAGAGCACUGGCUUUGGAAGGCUACAGAGGAAGCAAGAGAAGAAGACAGGAUUCCUCAGCCUCUGUACUGGUGUAAGGGAACUGAGUGAGAAAAUACCUCAUCAGCAUCUAAGCCCUCUGAUUCUUAUUUCACUGGAAGAGAUGAAAGAUCAGAUCCUGCUAUUAGCUACACUGAUGUCGAUCUGGGGUGACUCCAGUAUCUGCAUCUUGAUAAAAAAUAAUCCUGUCAUCGGCUUCUGCUGAGAGAGGGUGAAGGGAGGAGUUAGCAAGAAAUCUGGUGCCCUUCUCCCAGCAAGGGAUUCUGGCGCGUCUUACGAGCAGCGUCGAUUUUCAUUGACAUACUUCAGAUCAUACUUCAGAUCAAGGGGAAAAUCCGGAGGAAGGAGAAUGCAUCGGGCUGAAAGAUGAUGAGAGUCCCAGGAAUUGUGACAGUGAAGAGUGUGUGACCUCGUUUUCACUGGGAAGAUAACGGGGGAAAAAAAGAUGCCGUGCCGAAGUCUGCAGUGUUGUACGCUGCUCAAGUUUUUGAAAUAAAAGACAGAAUUUCC
rnacentral:lncRNA from 1 species